rnacentral:rRNA from 1 species
UACGUAGGGUCCGAGCGUUAUCCGGAAUUAUUGGGCGUAAAGAGCUCGUAGGCAGUGUGUCGCGUCGGCCGUGAAAACCUGCAGCUUAACUGUGGGCUUGCGGUCGAUACGGGCAUCACUGGAGUUCGGCAGGGGAGACUGGAAUUCCCGGUGUAGUGGUGGAAUGCGUAGAUAUCGGGGGGAAUACCAGAGGCGCAAGCGGCGCCCUGGCCUUGGCCUGACGCUCAGGUGCGAAAGCGUGGGAGCGAACGGG